rnacentral:sRNA from 1 species
CUGGCGUGGAGCAGAGGGACACGGGUUCCCACGCUGGCGCCCGGCGACCGGGUGGGGCUGCGGCCCAGCAGCUCCAUGGAGGACACCGGCGAGGACCCCACCACGUUCGCUGCCCACUCUCUUCCCAGUGACCCCCGUCUCUUGGCCACUGUGACCAGCGCAUACCUGGGCACACGAGUGUUUCACGACACGCUGCACGUGAGCGGCGUGUACAAUGGGGCUGGCGGGGACACGCACCGGGCCAUGCUGCCCAGCCCCCUCAACGUGCGGCUGGAGGCCCCUGCAGGGAUGGGGGAGCAGCUGACCGAGACCUUUGCCCUGGACACCAACACAGGCUCCUUUCUUCACACCCUGGAGGGCCCCCGCUUCCGGGCCUCCCAGUGCAUCUAUGCGCACCGCACGCUGCCCCACGUCCUGGCUUUCCGAGUGUCCAUCGCCCGCCUGGCCCCGGGGAGCGGGCCCAUCACGCUGCUCCUGCGGUCAACCUUCUCCCCAGAAAGCCCAGACCUGGACCUGCAUCAGGGCCCUGACUUCCAGGGAGCCCGGUAAGGAGGGGGCUGGAUUUGCGGCCAGGGAGUCCAGGGAGGGAGCUCAUCCCUGAGGCAUGGCCAUACUCUCACAGGUACCUGUAUGGCCACACCCUCACCCCUGAGCAGCCCGGGGGGCCACAGCAAGAGGUACACAUGCUGUGGACACCAGCACCCCCAGACCUGACCCUUGGGGAAGGUGAGGAGGAUAGGAUGUG